rnacentral:rRNA from 2 species
AGAUUGGUGCUUGCAUCAUGAUUUACAUUUGAGUGAGUGGCGAACUGGUGAGUAACACGUGGGAAACCUGCCCAGAAGCGGGGGAUAACACCUGGAAACAGAUGCUAAUACCGCAUAACAACUUGGACCGCAUGGUCCGAGCUUGAAAGAUGGCUUCGGCUAUCACUUUUGGAUGGUCCCGCGGCGUAUUAGCUAGAUGGUGGGGUAACGGCUCACCAUGGCAAUGAUACGUAGCCGACCUGAGAGGGUAAUCGGCCACAUUGGGACUGAGACACGGCCCAAACUCCUACGGGAGGCAGCAGUAGGGAAUCUUCCACAAUGGACGAAAGUCUGAUGGAGCAACGCCGCGUGAGUGAAGAAGGGUUUCGGCUCGUAAAACUCUGUUGUUAAAGAAGAACAUAUCUGAGAGUAACUGUUCAGGUAUUGACGGUAUUUAACCAGAAAGCCACGGCUAACUACGUGCCAGCAGCCGCGGUAAUACGUAGGUGGCAAGCGUUGUCCGGAUUUAUUGGGCGUAAAGCGAGCGCAGGCGGUUUUUUAAGUCUGAUGUGAAAGCCUUCGGCUCAACCGAAGAAGUGCAUCGGAAACUGGGAAACUUGAGUGCAGAAGAGGACAGUGGAACUCCAUGUGUAGCGGUGAAAUGCGUAGAUAUAUGGAAGAACACCAGUGGCGAAGGCGGCUGUCUGGUCUGUAACUGACGCUGAGGCUCGAAAGUAUGGGUAGCAAACAGGAUUAGAUACCCUGGUAGUCCAUACCGUAAACGAUGAAUGCUAAGUGUUGGAGGGUUUCCGCCCUUCAGUGCUGCAGCUAACGCAUUAAGCAUUCCGCCUGGGGAGUACGGCCGCAAGGCUGAAACUCAAAGGAAUUGACGGGGGCCCGCACAAGCGGUGGAGCAUGUGGUUUAAUUCGAAGCUACGCGAAGAACCUUACCAGGUCUUGACAUACUAUGCAAAUCUAAGAGAUUAGACGUUCCCUUCGGGGACAUGGAUACAGGUGGUGCAUGGUUGUCGUCAGCUCGUGUCGUGAGAUGUUGGGUUAAGUCCCGCAACGAGCGCAACCCUUAUUAUCAGUUGCCAGCAUUAAGUUGGGCACUCUGGUGAGACUGCCGGUGACAAACCGGAGGAAGGUGGGGAUGACGUCAAAUCAUCAUGCCCCUUAUGACCUGGGCUACACACGUGCUACAAUGGAUGGUACAACGAGUUGCGAACUCGCGAGAGUAAGCUAAUCUCUUAAAGCCAUUCUCAGUUCGGAUUGUAGGCUGCAACUCGCCUACAUGAAGUCGGAAUCGCUAGUAAUCGCGGAUCAGCAUGCCGCGGUGAAUACGUUCCCGGGCCUUGUACACACCGCCCGUCACACCAUGAGAGUUUGUAACACCC